UCCAAAGUCAAUUCCAAUCACACUGCCUGUCUCCAUGGCCACCAUGAAAUUCUCCAGGUGUCUGUCUCCAAUACCGAGGAGCCAGUGGCUGAUGCACAGCAGUGCAUGAGAGCUGGCAAAGUGGGAACGCAGUGCCAGGAAUGCCUCAGGGCUAGUGCUCAUCUUUAUAAAGGCCCGCCUAGGAGAGAAAAGCCAUGUAUCACCUCUGCUAUGCCACUAGGUUUAUGAAGUCACAAACAUACUUACUUUAAGAGAUCAGCAGACUAGACUCUAGAUAUUUCUUUACCACUUCCUGAAUGUAGACACAUAUACAAAACUCUAGGUAAGAUGAAGCCUUUUCUUACUGUCAGCCAUCUCAUCCUGAAUUUGAAAAGCUUCAGUGACAUGUCCCACAAGAGUCGGCACAUGUGCAGGUCGAUACACUCUGGCAGCAUCCUGAGAGAGAAUGGCAUUCAUGACCUCAAAUAGCUGCUCAAUGCGCUGGUCCUGCCGGAGGUCCUCACCACCUUUUACCAGGAAUGGGUAUUCCUUUUCAUCAUGGCCUCGAAUAACAAUGCGCUUUGGUUUCCUUAUGGAGCUCAUUACUUUUACCUUUAAACAGUAAGAGAUUUGUUGUUGUAGUGGG